CCCUUAGAUGUCCUGGGCCGCACGCGCGCUACACUGAUGCAUGCAACGAGUUUAUAACCUUGGCCUGAAAGGUCUGGGUAAUCUUUUGAACGUGCAUCGUGAUAGGGAUAGAUUAUUGCAAUUGUUAAUCUUGAACGAGGAAUUCCUAGUAAACGCGAGUCAUCAGCUCGCAUUGAUUUCGUCCCUGCCCUUUGUACACACCGCCCGUCGCACCUACCGAUUGAAUGGUUCGGUGAAGAUCUCGGACUUCGAUAUUUAUUCUUUAUUGAGUUUAUAUUGUGGGAAGUUAUCUAAACCUCAUCAUUUAGAGGAAGGUGAAGUCGUAACA
rnacentral:rRNA from 1 species